AACGAACGCUGGCGGCAGGCUUAACACAUGCAAGUCGAACGGGCGUAGCAAUACGUCAGUGGCAGACGGGUGAAUAACACGUGGGAACCUUCCUCGUAGUACGGAACAACUCAGGGAAACUUGAACUAAUACCGUAUACGUCCGAGAGGAGAAAGAUUUAUCGCUAUGAGACGGGCCCGCGUCCGAUUAGCUAGUUGGUGGGUAACGGCCUACCAAGGCAACGAUCGGUAGCUGAUCUGAGAGGAUGAUCAGCCACACUGGGACUGAGACACGGCCCAGACUCCUACGGGAGCAGCAGGUGGGAAUCUUGGACAAUGGGCGAAAGCCUGAUCCAGCCAUGCCGCGUGAGUGAAGAAGGCCUUAGGGUGUAGAGCUCUUUUGGCAGGACGAUAAUGACGGUACCUGCAGAAUAAGCCCC
rnacentral:rRNA from 1 species